GACGAACGCUGGCGGCGUGCUUAACACAUGCAAGUCGAACGGCAAGGCCCUGCUUUUGUGGGGUGCUCGAGUGGCGAACGGGUGAGUAACACGUGAGUAACCUGCCCUUGACUUUGGGAUAACUUCAGGAAACUGGGGCUAAUACCGGAUAGGAGCUCCUGCUGCAUGGUGGGGGGUGGAAAGUUUCGGCGGUUGGGGAUGGACUCGCGGCUUAUCAGCUUGUUGGUGGGGUAGUGGCUUACCAAGGCUUUGACGGGUAGCCGGCCUGUGAGGGUGACCGGCCACAAUGGGACUGAGAUACGGCCCAGACUCCUACGUGAGGCAGCAGUGGGGAAUAUUGCACAAUGGGCGGAAGCCUGAUGCAGCAACGCCGCGUGCGGGAUGACGGCCUUCGGGUUGUAAACCGCUUUCGCCUGUGACGAAGCGUGAGUGACGGUAAUGGGUAAAGAAGCACCGGCUAACUACGUG
rnacentral:rRNA from 1 species